GGCCGUGUGGUGUAGUGGUAGCAUACUUGCUUUGGGAUUUCUUCUACAAGGCUUGCAAGUGGUCCCAGGUUCGAGCCCUGGCUCGGCCC